AUCUUAUCAAGAGCAGGUGGAGGGACUAGCCCGAUGAAACCCGGCAACCGGCGACUUCGUCGUACGGUGCUAAUUCUUGCAGUUACCAUGCGAUCCAAGGCGAGGC
rnacentral:ncRNA from 2 species